UUGCCCUACGGGAGGCAGCAGUGAGGAAUAUUGGUCAAUGGGCGGUAGCCUGAACCAGCCAAGUAGCGUGAAGGAUGAAGGUUCUAUGGAUUGUAAACUUCUUUUAUAAAGGAAUAAAGUGAGGCACGUGUGCCUUUUUGUAUGUACUUUAUGAAUAAGGAUCGGCUAACUCCGUGCCAGCAGCCGCGGUAAUACGGAGGAUGCGAGCGUUAUCCGGAUUUAUUGGGUUUAAAGGGUGCGUAGGCGGAAUAUCAAGUCAGCGGUAAAAAUUCGGGGCUCAACCCCGUCGUGCCGUUGAAACUGAU
rnacentral:rRNA from 1 species